GGUAAAUAGAUAGUAAUAGCUGUGAAUCUAACACAAAGGAGCUAUAGCCGGAAUAUGAAGUCAUAAUGUUUCUGCUUAUAAAGGGCUUAAGCCUGUGCUGCAAGUUUUGGAUUGCGAAUACAUGCUUUUUCUAUCUGAUGGUUUGCAUUAUACUCGUGGAAUCCUCGCGAGGAAUUUGGAAGAGUCGUUUACUUCGAGAAUUUUACACAAAGGCUGCUUUGUUACACUUAUUCAUUACGUCAUUGAAGAAGAUCAAAACUUCAAGUGAGUUAUAUAUUUUUGUAUCUGUGAGAUUAUUUAUGCUUAAAUAAGAGUUCUGGGGGCACUAGAUUUGAGUUUAACUUUCAUGCACUAUCAUUAUAAAUAUUUGGUUUAAUGAUGUGUUUCGUCGUUACAAUUAAGCAUUAUAUAAAAAUUAGUAAUCGCUAAUCCUGGCAAUUUACCCUUGCAUUGUUUAAUCAUUUAAAAUUUCGUCUUUGACAAACUAAAUCACUCCCAAGUCAUCAAAUUAGCAAAAUGACAUGGAAAUGGACAAAAAUAUCCUCGUCUUUAUUAUGAGAAGAGGAUGAAGACAUGGGUAAAAAUGUCAUUUCAAGAAUGGAUGACGAUGGUAUUUUUGUCUAUUCCCAUGUCAUUUUGCUAAUUUGAUGACGUGGCAGUGAUUAAGUAGGUCAAAGAACGAAAUUUUAAAUGAUUAAACAAUGCAAGGGUAAAUUGCCAGGAUUAACGAUUACAGGGACUAAUUUUUAAAUGACGCCUAAUUGCAAGGACGAAACACAUCAUUAAACCUAAAUAUUUCAGCUAAAUUUUUUAACAUUUGUUUAUUAUUAUACCUGAUCUGAUGCUUUUCAAAUUUUUUAAUAUGUUGAACAAACAGGGUUAUUAAUAUUAUCAUCCUUGACCUAGAAGUUAUACAGAGCAAAUGUGAUCUGAUUGUUGGAGAACCCGUCCCCCUAAAAAGGCUCCUUCAGAGCCAAAAGUGGCUGACCUUUUUCCUAACGGUAAGAUUUAGUGUGUUACAUUUACCUUAUGACAAAUAUUCUAUAAACAAUGUAAAAAUAUUAAGAAAAAUGUUGUUGACACAAAUGAGAAGGCUGAAAAAUAUCGGUAAAAGACGUAAAUGUCCCUGCAACAGUUAAUUGCCGAAGAAUUUAAAAAUCGGCUGCAGUUAAUUGUCAAGGAAAACUUCGGCAGUUAACUAUCGAGACGGACUUCUGCAGUUAACUGUCGCAAAAAUUGAACAUUAAUUACAUUUUUAAUUAAUUUAAUUGUAACAAUAAAUUGAAAUAACAAAAUAAUAAACUCAAUUAAUAUAUUUAAUUUGAAAAGCCUAAUUGUAACUGCCACGGUACAUUUUUUAUAAGUUUUUAAUGAUGUCUUUCAUUUUUUUUAACAUAAUUUUUUUGAAUAAUGUAUAAUUGUAACAUAAAUUGAAAAAACAAAAUAAUAAAUUCAAUUAAUAUAUUUAAUUUGAAAAAUCAAAUUGUGACUACCACGGUACAUUUUUAAAAUUAGUUUUGAAUAAUAUUUUUCUUUUUUCAAAGAAAAGUUUGAAUAAUGUCUAAUUGUAACAUAAAUUGAAAUAACAAAAUAAUAAAUUUAAUUAAUAUAUUUAAUUUCAAAAGUCAAAAUUUUUAGUUAUGUAUCAAUCUUAUACGAAGCAAAUUACAAAAAAAUAUAUAUAUAUAUAAAAUCAACGAAGAUUAUUAGCUAUCAAUGUCUUUAUUACUCAUAUUAGCAAAAAUAAAUGCCAUUAAUACUACAUUUUUGUAAACAAAAGAAAAUGAAUGAGUUGUAGUCAACGUCUUUAAUACUAAUUCAUCUCAUUAUUUUCGGUAAUUAAAUCAAUUAAAAAUGCAACGGUUAUAACAAAAAAUACACCACCAAAAACAAAAGUAACCGCUCCAAAAAUCAACCAUUCAUUAAUGUAAAUUAUUGUAUUUUCCAUUUAUAUUCAUAAACAUGAAUAGCCUUUAAACACAAUUAAUUUUGCAGUCACAUUUUCCUCGGCAGUUAAUUGUCGAAAUUUUCCUCGGUAGUUAACUGCCGAUGUUUUUCUCGGCAGUUAACUGCAGCCGUGUUUUUAAUUUCUCGGCAGUUCACUGCCGCAGGAACAUUUACAUCUUUUACUGGUGUUUCUCAGUCUUCUCAUAUAUGUCAACAACAAUUUUCAAAAAUUAAUGUUAUGGAUGAAUCAAAUCACCAUGAUAGUUUUAGAUUAAUUACACAGUAAAUGUUCGUAUAUUUACACCGUGUUGUAUAGAAUAUUUUCUUGUUUGAUUAAAUUAUAAAUGUUCGUAUAAUUAAAUAUCAUAAAUGUUCGUAUAUUUACACCGUGUACAGUUAGGCAAUUAAAAUGUACAUUAAUUUAGACUUAAAAAAUAGAAACAAAUUUAAUGAAUAAAUUAAAGUACAUUAAUUAAUUUAUUUUGGGGAAAAAAUGUGAGAGGCAUUUAUUAAUUACUCGUUUGAGACCAGACCACAUCUUUUUUUCUUUUUUUUUAAUUAAAAAUCAGAUCCGUAAUACAUGUUGGAAUAUCAUUAAAGAUAUUGAAGUUAGUACUAGAUGUGAUUGUCUUAGCUAAAGUAUGUGCAACCUCAUUUGCUUGCCUCCUAAUAAAUUCGACAUGAGAGUUUGUUAAAUAAUUGUUACAGAAAUGGAUGCUAUUAUCAAUGAUAAAACCAAAUUCGGGACAUCUCCAC
rnacentral:lncRNA from 1 species